rnacentral:rRNA from 1 species
AGUGGCGGACGGGUGAGUAACGCGUGAGAAUCUGCCUUGGGGUCUGGGACAACCACUGGAAACGGUGGCUAAUACCGGAUAAGCCGAUUGGUGAAAGAUUUAUUGCCCGAAGAGGAGCUCGCGUCUGAUUAGCUAGUUGGUGAGGUAAGAGCUCACCAAGGCAGCGAUCAGUAGCUGGUCUGAGAGGACGAUCAGCCACACUGGGACUGAGACACGGCCCAGACUCCUACGGGAGGCAGCAGUGGGGAAUUUUCCGCAAUGGGCGAAAGCCUGACGGAGCAAGACCGCGUGAGGGAGGAAGGCUCUUGGGUUGUAAACCUCUUUUCUCAGGGAAGAAGCUCUGACGGUACCUGAGGAAUCAGCCUCGGCUAACUCCGUGCCAGCAGCCGCGGUAAUACGGAGGAGGCAAGCGUUAUCCGGAAUUAUUGGGCGUAAAGCGUCCGCAGGUGGCGAUUCAAGUCUGCUGUCAAAGCACGGGGCUUAACUCCGUAAAGGCAGUGGAAACUGAAUAGCUAGAGUGCCGUAGGGGUAGAGGGAAUUCCCGGUGUAGCGGUGAAAUGCGUAGAGAUCGGGAAGAACAUCGGUGGCGAAAGCGCUCUACUGGACGGCAACUGACACUCAGGGACGAAAGCUAGGGGAGCGAAUGGGAUUAGAUACCCC